GACGAACGCUGGCGGCGUGCUUAACACAUGCAAGUCGAACGGAAAGGCCCUGCUUUUGUGGGGUGCUCGAGUGGCGAACGGGUGAGUAACACGUGAGUAACCUGCCCUUGACUUUGGGAUAACUUCAGGAAACUGGGGCUAAUACCGGAUAGGAGCUCCUGCUGCAUGGUGGGGGUUGGAAAGUUUCGGCGGUUGGGGAUGUACUCGCGGCUUAUCAGCUUGUUGGUGGGGUAGUGGCUUACCAAGGCUUUGACGGGUAGCCGGCCUGAGAGGGUUACCGGCCACCAUGGGCCUGCGAUACGGCCCAGACGCCUACGGGAGGCAGCAGUGGGGAAUAUGGCACAAUGGGCGGAAGCGUGAUGCAGCAACGCCGCGUGCGGGAUGACGGCCUUCGGGUUGUAAACCGCUUUCGCCUGUGACGAAGCGUGAGUGACGGUAAUGGGUAAAGAAGCACCGGCUAACUACGUG
rnacentral:rRNA from 1 species